rnacentral:sRNA from 1 species
UAACCAAUUAUAUUUAAUCAUCUAUUUUUUUAUUGGUUGAAUUGGUUAUAAUAAAUGAAGUUUUUAUAUAAAAGAGGUAUAUUAAAUGAGAUUUUUAUGAUUUCUUAAUUUGUGUGUAACCUUAAACUACAACUAAUAUGAAACAGAGGGAGUAUAUUACUAGAUUUGAACCCGCAGUACACUGCGGGAACAAUUUAUUUAUUAAAGUUACUAUACAUAAAAGUUUGCAAAUUGAAUCUAUACAUAAAAUAUUUUUAUUUUAUAGUUUACAAUUGUUAUUAAGUAUCGUCAUGCCAAACCUGUUCCGCCAAUCCGUCCCGUAAAAAAACUAUUUAUUUUAUUAAUGUUGAUCUUAUUUAUGAUACGUUUAUGAAUUAUUGUCUAAAUAUUUUGUAAUUUUGUAGUAAUUAAAUGUUAUCAAAUAUCUUUGCGUUUUGAUGAUUAUAAUCGAGUUGUUAUAGUCAUGGAGAAACCAAUAUCAAAAAUGAUAAUUUUGUAGUAAUUAAAUGAUAUUAAAUAUUUUGGAAGUUUUAUUUUAGUAACUAAUCGUGUAGUUAAUGUGGAGAGAUUUAGAGAAGAUUGUUAAAUGUCAAAUAUUUAAUUCGAAGAUUUUUUUUCUAAUUAUCAAAAACAAACAUUAAAAUCUAGUAUCAGCCAUUGUAAAUAAGUCUCAACUACAGAAUUUAUUUCACAAAAUAGCUGCAAAAAUGUAUAUGUAGAUAAUUAAAUUGAUAUCUUUCGGUCUCAUACGAGCUUCUAUUUCUAUGAAUCAAACA